CCCAGGAGACAGGCCAGGCCAAUCAGAGGCCACUCAGGCCAGUAGAACGUAAGGAGGGCAAGACGAUUGGUUUAUUACAAUUAACACCCGCCCUAAUAGUCCGUAGCAACCACACAGACAGCGCGUGUCGAGGGAUGAGACGUGUGUCUGGUGCUAUGGUGUGGGGGUGUAGCUACUGCUAGCAAACGACGGGAUGGACUCCUCCCAACGAGGAAAAAGGAAAGGCGGCGCCGAGAGGGAGAGAGAGAGAAAAAGAAAGGCGCUGGAGGAUGCUGCGGCGAAAUGCCUUAAAGUCACAGACUUAUUCAGGCUCCCCAUACCAUUAAAAAAAAAGAUGCGUCUACAAGUGUGGGUGUGUGAACAUGCGUGUGUGGUCAAGACCAGGGUGGCCUGAUGCAUGAAUGACUCUUGGCCUGAAAAAGUUUCCCAGUCCGGCCCUGGU